rnacentral:rRNA from 1 species
GAGCGAUCUUCUUCGGAAGAGAGCGGCGGACGGGUGAGUAACGUGUGGGUAACCUGCCCUGUACACACGGGUAACAUACCGAAAGGUAUGCUAAUACGGGAUAACAUAAGAAAGUCGCAUGGAUUUCUUAUCAAAGCUUUUGCGGUACAGGAUGGACCCGCGUCUGAUUAGCUAGUUGGUAAGGUAACGGCUUACCAAGGCGACGAUCAGUAGCCGACCUGAGAGGGUGAUCGGCCACAUUGGAACUGAGACACGGUCCAAACUCCUACGGGAGGCAGCAGUGGGGAAUAUUGCACAAUGGGCGAAAGCCUGAUGCAGCAACGCCGCGUGAGCGAUGAAGGCCUUCGGGUCGUAAAGCUCUGUCCUCAAGGAAGAUAAUGACGGUACUUGAGGAGGAAGCCCCGGCUAACUACGUGCCAGCAGCCGCGGUAAUACGUAGGGGGCUAGCGUUAUCCGGAAUUACUGGGCGUAAAGGGUGCGUAGGCGGUCUUUCAAGUCAGAAGUGAAAGGCUACGGCUCAACCGUAGUAAGCUUUUGAAACUGUAAGACUUGAGUGCAGGAGAGGAGAGUGGAAUUCCUAGUGUAGCGGUGAAAUGCGUAGAUAUUAGGAGGAACACCAGUUGCGAAGGCGGCCCUCUGGACUGUAACUGACGCU